CUUGCCACAUGGCGGUACGUGAUGAAGCACGUUUAGUUUAACGUCUAAGGAGGACCGAGCUAGUCAGGCGCACACUAGUCUGCGCUUCCGGCCUUGGCUAAUCUAAUUCCUGUGUAUUUGGGGGCAAGGGAGAAACCCUGCAGCAAAUCAUUAGCCAACUUCGCCGCUUUGUUUGUUUUUUGCUUGUUUUAAGGUAGGCUCUAAGGUCAGAAGAAGAAUGAGGAAGUUGGGUGUCUGUAAAGGGGGUGGUGUGGUACACCCCUGGAAGAGUGGUGAAGGUACUUCCAGGGCCACCAGCUGGCCGAGGUCAGACAGCAAGCACCCAGCCGUCCCUGCCAUGGGAGACCCGGGCUGGCUGUUCUGUGAUAUGCACACUUGGAGUCCCAUGGACCCACCAACCCCACUGCGCCUCUGGUCGUAGGCCUGUCUUCAGCCCAGGACUACCUGAUAGGGCUGCCCAGUGGAAAGCCGCCUCCGAGAAGACCAACUGUCCAGCCCUGAGGAGAGAGAAUUCGUAAAGAGAGCCCAUCUCAAAUGGCUCAGACGGGACCCUGAAAUAACACUCCACCUCUGAAAUCGUACAAACUGUAUGAGUGACAAAUGUCAAAAAAUGUUAUUAAAAAGCAUGUAAGGGGA